AUCACUAUCAUAGCAUUUCACUCGGGAGUAUUCUAGAGUAUCAUAUUUAUAUUUCCACGAAGAAGCACUUAGUGGAGUAGACAAUCAGUAAAUAAAUCCUUUGAAUGUACCACAACUUAACGAACUAUAACUCAGUGGGGGGUAAUGAUAGAUAGGAGUGAUAACCGUGACAAACGAGAACUCUAUGAUAAAAGAUAACUAUGACGUAGCUAGUCGGGAGGACAACGAGUCUGAGAUAAACUUGUAAGUACUUCUAUGUUCUUCAAUCACCUCUAGAGUAGAGUAACAGAGAAUGAAAGUAUAAACCAAGAGAUAAUCUAUCCUAGUGAUUUUUGUUUACAUUGGGGGAUGCACACUUCGGCUAUGAAAAGUGAUGAGAAGGGAGCCGUCACAUACACCGCUCUUAUGGUUGCUUACAAGAACUAGUCACUCUCACAUGGUUGAUUACAUAGGUCGGACAGGGAUGUCACUACCUUACGGCUACCACAAGCAGUCCGUGGGGAUAGGUUUAAUUUAAGCCAGGCUAUAACUCUAAGCACAACACUUCUAGAAAUAUCCUUAUAUUCACUCCCAAAUUCAAAGAGCAAGCACUCUAUCGGGAAUUGGUAGAACAAGUAACCGGUAAACAAAUUAUAGUAAAAGCACCCAUGCUUGCACUUUAACCACUAUACUCUAAACUAGAUAUUUAGUACUAGAGCAAAAUAGUACUGAAUAAAUGACUCAAGAUAGAUAGAAGAUAAUUCUUUAUUGAUAACUCAAGUAUUAUAAGAGGAAAGUAAAAGAUACAAGAGUUUAUACUAGAACUUCUGAAGAUGACUCCAGAAUCCGAGGCUAAGCUUGACUCGACUCUAACUCCCGAACUAAACUAGCCUAACUAAGUGAAGUAGAGAGAUCCUCCUUGGUGUGUGUGUGUUGGUGUUUGUUAAUGAGAUAUUUUUACCCCUAUUUAUCUUCAAUAAUGACAUGCAAUUAAUAUGAUCAUUAUUGAUCAUGUUCAUUGUUGGAGCUCAUUAAUGACACCUUUUUCAGUGCUGUUUAUUGGUAUUAUUAGACAGAUUCUUAUACUAACCGGACAGAUGGAACCUAAAAUAAUC
rnacentral:lncRNA from 1 species